rnacentral:rRNA from 1 species
GAUGAACGCUGGCGGCGUGCCUAAUACAUGCAAGUCGAGCGAAUGGAUUAAGAGCUUGCUCUUAUGAAGUUAGCGGCGGACGGGUGAGUAACACGUGGGUAACCUGCCCAUAAGACUGGGAUAACUCCGGGAAACCGGGGCUAAUACCGGAUAACAUUUUGAACCGCAUGGUUCGAAAUUGAAAGGCGGCUUCGGCUGUCACUUAUGGAUGGACCCGCGGAGCAUUAGCUAGUUGGUGAGGUAACGGCUCACCAAGGCAACGAUGCGUAGCCGACCUGAGAGGGUGAUCGGCCACACUGGGACUGAGACACGGCCCAGACUCCUACGGGAGGCAGCAGUAGGGAAUCUUCCGCAAUGGACGAAAGUCUGACGGAGCAACGCCGCGUGAGUGAUGAAGGCUUUCGGGUCGUAAAACUUUGUUGUUAGGGAAGAACAAGUGCUAGUUGAAUAAGCUGACACCUUGACGGUACCUAACCAGAAAGCCACGGCUAACUACGUGCCAGCAGCGCCGUAA